UACGUAGGGGGCAAGCGUUGUCCGGAUUUACUGGGCGUAAAGAGCGCGUAGGCGGAAGCUUAAGUGUGGCCUGAAAGCCCCCGGCUCAACCGGGGAGGGUGGCUGCAAACUGGGCUUCUUGAGGGCGAUAGAGGAAGGUGGAAUUCCGGGUGUAGCGGUGAAAUGCGUAGAGAUCCGGAGGAACACCAGUGGCGAAGGCGGCCUUCUGGGUCGACCCUGACGCUGAGGCGCGAAAGCGUGGGGAGCAAACAGG
rnacentral:rRNA from 1 species